rnacentral:rRNA from 2 species
UACAGAGGGUGCGAGCGUUGUCCGGAAUCACUGGGCGUAAAGGGCGCGUAGGUGGCGACCCAAGUCGAUGGUGAAAGCUCGCCGCUCAACGGCGAGUCGGCCACCGAUACUGGGUUGCUGGAGCACUGUAGAGGCUCAUGGAAUUCCGGGUGUAGCGGUGGAAUGCGUAGAGAUCCGGAAGAACACCGGUGGCGAAGGCGGUGAGCUGGGCAGUUGCUGACACUGAGGCGCGACAGCGUGGGGAGCAAACAGG